rnacentral:rRNA from 1 species
AAAGGUUGACCUCGGAUCAGGUAGGAAUACCCGCUSAACUUAAGCAUAUCAAUAAGCGGAGGA